ACAGGUAAUAUGCUUACAACAUCAACACUCUGCUGUACUAGUUUCCAGAGAGUAAGGAUAUUUGCUUAGCAGAAACAUUUCCCUGAUCAUAAAGAACUGUAGAGAGCCCCUUCCCUGUAAGUGGAGAGUGCUUCCUUCUCCAGGGCCUGAAAAUGCCUUCCUCCCACAGCACCUGCUACAGUUUAAAUCUGGAAUAUCCUCACAUACCACUAACUGGUGACUCAUUUGGAGAGGUGUGUCUCCUGUGGCCCUGGAUGGGUUUAAAGUUCUGCCACUGGGAGUGCUGAGCUUGCAGGUGUCCCCAGCACGACCUCUGGAAGAUGUCCGAAUGAAGACGUCUCCCCGCCAGCCAAGCCUGGUGACACAUGCCAAUCCCAGAACUUGAGAAUCAGAGGCAGGAGGAUCAGGGAUUCAAGACUAUCGAUGCCAAUCUAGGGUAUACAAACCCUUUUUCCAAGAGGAAAAACUCAUAAUAAAGAAAAAAAAAUAAAUUUCUUCUAUAAAGUAUCCUUGCUUUCGGAGGAUAAGAAACCAUGGCAUGAAUCUUGUGUAACUGU